rnacentral:rRNA from 1 species
UUUAGCAAGUAAACUACAAGCAAAGAGCCCUUUAGUUUGUAACCCCGAAACUGAGCGAGCUACUCCAAGACAGCCUACAUAGGGCAAACCCGUCUCUGUGGCAAAAGAGUGGGAAGAGCUUUGAGUAGAGGUGACAAACCUACCGAGCACAGUUAUAGCUGGUUGCCUGAGAAAUGAAUAGAAGUUCAGCCCUCUAAGUCUUUCCCCCAUCACCCAUGCUUACGCUAAAAUUGAUUAAGGAAACUAGAGGAGUUAAUCAAAAGGGGUACAGCCCUUUUGAUAAAAGAAACAACUUUAACAGGUGACCCAAGAUCAUAUUACCCAAGGAUUCCAAAUUAAGUGGGCCUAAAAGCAGCCAUCUUACUAGAAAGCGUUAAAGCUCAAAUUAGACAUCAUCCUCAUAUACUGAUAUUAUAUCUCCCUCCCUGCUCUCUACCAGGCUGUCUUAUGCCCCCAUAAGAACAAUUAUGCUAAA